CCUACGGGUGGCAGCAGUCGAGAAUCUUUCACAAUGGGGGAAACCCUGAUGGUGCGACGCCGCGUGGGGGAAUGAAGGUCUUCGGAUUUUAAACCCCUGUCAUGUGGGAGCAAAUUAAAAAGAUAGUACCACAAGAGGAAGAGACGGAUAACUCUGUGACCGCAGCCGCGGUAAUACAGAGGUCUCAAGCGUUGUUCGGAAUCACUGGGCGUAAAGCGAGCGUAGGCUGUUUCGUAAGUCGGGUGUGAAAGGCGCGGGCUCAACCCUGGGACGGCAUAUGAUACUGGGGGACUAGAGUAAUGGAGGGGGAAUCGGAAUUCUCGGUGUAGCAGUGAAAUGCGUAGAUAUCGAGAGGAACACUCGUGGCGAAGGCGGGUUACUGGACAUUAACUGACGCUGAGGCACGAAGGCCAGGGGAGCGAAAGGGAUUAGAUACCCCAGUAGUC
rnacentral:rRNA from 1 species